rnacentral:rRNA from 1 species
UACAGAGGGUGCAAGCGUUAAUCGGAAUUACUGGGCGUAAAGCGUGCGUAGACGGUUACAUAAGUCGGGUGUGAAAGCCCCGGGCUCAACCUGGGAAUUGCAUUCGAGACUGCGUAGCUAGGGUGCGGAAGAGGGAAGCGGAAUUUCCGGUGUAGCGGUGAAAUGCGUAGAUAUCGGAAGGGACACCAGUGGCGAAAGCGGCUUCCUGGUCCAGCACCGACGUCAGGCACGAAAGCGUGGGGAGCAAACAGG